UUCUACUUAUAUUAUUAGAUAUAAUAUAAUAUAAGUUGCAUUGCAUUGUACGUAAAUUUAGAAUUUUUAAACAUAUCCAUAUAUAAAUAUGUUCUUAAAAUAUGUGGUCAAUCCAAAAUAUAUACUUCUCUUAAGAAUUCAAUAAAAGUUAUAUAAAUAAUUAUAUCAUGUCACAAUAUUCUUUCAUUGUUAAAAACAUUUUAUACUACUUAAACAGGCAAACAGGUUACAGUAAGGUAUGGCCCAACCAUCAUACUGAUGCGAAAUUUUAUAGGAAUGAGGAGAAGAGACUUUAAAUAUAAAAUUUUUACUCGGAUAUUAAUUAAUUUCUAAAAUAUGAGUAAAACGCUUUCAGUAUAAUACAUUCAAUUGUCUAUACAGACGUUACUAAUCAAUCGUUUUCGCUGUUGCAAUCGUCAACUAUUGAAUAGUCGAUGAUGUAACAGCGACAUCGACCUCAGUAUCUAUGUAUAGAAUAACAAUAACGGAGUAGUCUUCACUAUUCCCAGACGAUGUAUAUGGACAAAUGCAUUCCCAAUAACUCAUUCAAUUGUUUGCCAUACAGCUUCAAUUACCUGUGAAAUGUCAGUCAAAUUUCGUUGAUGUCGGAUUAUACGUGGGAUAUUCAAUAAAUACUGAUGUCAAAAUUAUUAUUACACCACCAGCUAUUCGACAGUAUUUAAUAUUUCCAACUAAUACAGCCAGGACGGUUUUAUUAACAAUGUCUGUAUAGGCAGAAUGUAAUGUGCUAUAGUAAAAGUUCCUCAUUAACAUUAUAGAAACUUAUAAAUACCAAAGACUAAAAUUUUAUAUAGUAAAAACUAUGGAGAUACCGUUGCCCUCCAAACUUUUAGCAUAUAUUAUGCACCAUUCUAGUCAUUUUUAUGUGUUGAAUAUGAGUGUCGUACUAAAAAGUUUAGAAAGAUAAUUUCGUAUCAAGACUUAAACAUUUCGAUAUGGCACACUAUAGGAAAAAAAAAU